CCUACGGGAGGCAGCAGUGGGGAAUUUUGGACAAUGGGCGCAAGCCUGAUCCAGCCAUGCCGCGUGCGGGAAGAAGGCCUUCGGGUUGUAAACCGCUUUUGUCAGGGAAGAAAAGGUUCUGGCUAAUACCUGGGACUCAUGACGGUACCUGAAGAAUAAGCACCGGCUAACUACGUGCCAGCAGCCGCGGUAAUACGUAGGGUGCAAGCGUUAAUCGGAAUUACUGGGCGUAAAGCGUGCGCAGGCGGUUAUGCAAGACAGAGGUGAAAUCCCCGGGCUCAACCUGGGAACUGCCUUUGUGACUGCAUAGCUAGAGUACGGUAGAGGGGGAUGGAAUUCCGCGUGUAGCAGUGAAAUGCGUAGAUAUGCGGAGGAACACCGAUGGCGAAGGCAAUCCCCUGGACCUGUACUGACGCUCAUGCACGAAAGCGUGGGGAGCAAACAGGAUUAGAUACCCUGGUAGUCCACGCCCUAAACGAUGUCAACUGGUUGUUGGGAGGGUUUCUUCUCAGUAACGUAGCUAACGCGUGAAGUUGACCGCCUGGGGAGGUACGGCCGCGAGUAGAACGUACGAAGAAGUAGUACGGCGUGAGACGUGCCGACGGACGACGACGAGGGAGGAGG
rnacentral:rRNA from 1 species